CACGCCGUAAACGAUGAAUGCUAGCCGUUGGGCAGCUUGCUGUUCAGUGGCGCAGCUAACGCAUUAAGCAUUCCGCCUGGGGAGUACGGCCGCAAGGUUGAAACUCAAAGGAAUUGACGGGGGCCCGCACAAGCGGUGGAGCAUGUGGUUUAAUUCGACGCAACGCGCAGAACCUUACCAGGGUUUGACAUCCUGCGACCGCUCCGUAAUGGGAGUUUUCCCGCAAGGGACGCAGAGACAGGUGC
rnacentral:rRNA from 1 species